CCUACGGGUGGCAGCAGUGAGGAAUAUUGGUCAAUGGACGAGAGUCUGAACCAGCCAAGUCGCGUGAAGGAUGACUGCUCCAUGGGUUGUAAACUUCUUUUAUAUGGGAAUAAAAUGUUCCACGUGUGGGAUUUUGUAUGUACCAUAUGAAUAAGGAUCGGCUAACUCCGUGCCCGCAGCCGCGGUAAUACGGAGGAUCCGAGCGUUAUCCGGAUUUAUUGGGUUUAAAGGGUGCGUAGGUGGUUUGUUAAGUCAGUUGUGAAAGUUUGCGGCUCAACCGUAGAAUUGCAGUUGAAACUGGCAGUCUUGAGUACAGGAGAGGUGAGCGGAAUGCGUGGGGUAGCGGUGAAAUGCUUAGAUAUCACGAAGAACUCCGAUUGCGAAGGCAGCUCACUGGACUGCAACUGACACUGAGGCUCGAAAGUGUGGGUAUCGAACAGGAUUAGAUACCCUUGUAGUC
rnacentral:rRNA from 1 species